UGUCAGGGUCGCGAGUUACCGAAGCAUACAAGGACAGGGCGGUGGAUGACAGACGUCGGGUUGAAUUUAGAAUAGUGGUCUUAUAUCGUAAGGAGUCGGACAGAUUGAGAACACGUUCGGGUUGGGCGGCAUCACGGAAGUUUGUUUUCUUCUAAGACCGGUUCAGACAUUAGCCUAUGGGACAACCUGGAGAACAUAAACGCCGACGGCUUGAGUAGCAUCCAUAGAACGGCUGCAUAACUGCUGCUUUACUUGCCGAUGGAAUAGAUUUUGGUUAACGAUUAAGGCAUUAUCGUAUGGCGGGAAUUUUCAAUUGAACGUCCGUCAGUGUUAGCCACAACAUGGAUACUGAAAGAACGCGAUUCGAAGGCUGAUUAAAUUGUUGCCAACCUGUUAAGGUAACAAUGCCUAGACUACUCGUCGUAGUGAGUCAACAGCUCCUAUAUGGAAAGUGGAGUCGGAGUCAACAAGAGAUUGCUGUUGAAAAGUUUAGUAUUUAUGCCGUCCACUUAAGAACAUUGUCAUAUUUAAGAUUGUGAUCUAGUGGA